rnacentral:rRNA from 5 species
GGAGGAAGGUGGGGAUGACGUCAAGUCAUCAUGGCCCUUACGACCAGGGCUACACACGUGCUACAAUGGCGCAUACAAAGAGAAGCGACCUCGCGAGAGCAAGCGGACCUCAUAAAGUGCGUCGUAGUCCGGAUUGGAGUCUGCAACUCGACUCCAUGAAGUCGGAAUCGCUAGUAAUCGUGGAUCAGAAUGCCACGGUGAAUACGUUCCCGGGCCUUGUACACACCGCCCGUCACACCAUGGGAGUGGGUUGCAAAAGAAGUAGGUAGCUUAACCUUCGGGAGGGCGCUUACCACUUUGUGAUUCAUGACUGGGGUGAAGUCGUAACAAGGUAACCGUAGGGGAACCUGC